GAAUGUAAGGGUGACCUGGCUGUGACAUCUGUAUCUCCAUUGAUCAUUGCAGUUGAUUCAGCUGAUCUUGCUAGAUAGACAGGUGUCCCCUGCACCCCUCCCCACGCCAUGUGCAUCCUGAAGAGGCUGACAACACCUGAUGGAGGCAAUAGAAGAGGAUCAUUCUGUCAGUUAAGGGUACACGAGUAGCUGUGCUCCCCUACUGGAACCUCCAAACAAGCUCUCAAGAAAGACAUGCAUAGAUAAAAAUGGUAGGAAUAAAAUAUUUUCUAGGACGAGAGCAGUAAAGAAUUU
ensembl:misc_RNA 7SK 7SK RNA